AUUGAACGCUGGCGGCAGGCCUAACACAUGCAAGUCGAACGGUAGCACAGAGAGCUUGCUCUCGGGUGACGAGUGGCGGACGGGUGAGUAACGUCUGGGAAACUGCCCGAUGGAGGGGGAUAACUACUGGAAACGGUAGCCAAUACCGCAUCACGUCGCAAGACCAAAGUGGGGGACUUUCGGGCCUCACACCAUCGAGUGUGCCCAGAUGGGAUUAGCUAGUAGGUGGGGUAACGGCUCACCUAGGCGACGAUCCCUAGCUGGUCUGAGAGGAUGACCAGCCACACUGGAACUGAGACACGGUCCAGACUCCUACGGGAGGCAGCAGUGGGGAAUAUUGCACAAUGGGCGCAAGCCUGAUGCAGCCAUGCCGCGUGUAUGAAGAAGGCCUUCGGGUUGUAAAGUACUUUCAGCGGGGAGGAAGGCGGUGAAGUUAAUAACUUCACCGAUUGACGUUACCCGCAGAAGAAGCACCGGCUAACUCCGUGCCAGCCGCCGCAGUAA
rnacentral:rRNA from 1 species